rnacentral:rRNA from 1 species
GAUUGCUCAGUAACGGCGAGUGAAGCGGCAAGAGCUCAAAUUUGAAAUCUGCCUCUGGGCGGGGGUCCGAGUUGUAAUUUGGAGAGGAUGCUUCGGGCUGGCUCCCAUCUAAGUGCCCUGGAACGGGUCGUCAGAGAGGGUGAGAAUCCCGUCUGGGAUGGGUGAUCGGGUCUGUGUGAAGCUCCUUCGACGAGUCGAGUUGUUUGGGAAUGCAGCUCUAAGUGGGUGGUAAAUUUCAUCUAAAGCUAAAUACUGGCCGGAGACCGAUAGCGCACAAGUAGAGUGAUCGAAAGAUGAAAAGCACUUUGAAAAGAGAGUUAAAGAGCAUGUGAAAUUGUUGAAAGGGAAGCGCUUGCGACCAGACUCAUGUGGGGGGUUCAGCCGGCACUUGUGCCGGUGCAUUCCCCCCGGCGUGGGCCAGCGUCGGUUUGGAGGGUCGCUGAAAGGCCCCUGGAAUGUAUCGCCCUUCGGGGCGUCUUAUAGCCAGGGGUGCCAUGCGGCCCGUUGGACCGAGGAACGCGCUCCGGCUCGGACGCUGGCGUAAUGGUCGCAAGCGGCCCGUCUUGAAACACGGACCAAGGAGUCUAACAUCUACGCGAGUGUUCGGGUGUCAAACCCGUCCGCGCAGUGAAAGCGAACGGAGGUGGGAGCCCUCUGGGUGCACCAUCGACCGAUCCUGAUGUCUUCGGAUGGAUUUGAGUAGGAGCGUAGCUGUUGGGACCCGAAAGAUGGUGAACUAUGCCUGAAUAGGGUGAAGCCAGAGGAAACUCUGGUGGAGGCUCGCAGCGGUUCUGACGUGCAAAUCGAUCGUCAAAUUUGGGUAUAGGGGCGAAAGACUAAUCG